CUUCCAUUCCGCGUGCAGGACGAAGGCCUUCGGGUUGUAAACUGCUUUUGUACGGAACGAAAAAGCCUUGGCUAAUACCCGGGGUCCAUGACGGUACCGUAAGAAUAAGCACCGGCUAACUACGUGCCAGCAGCCGCGGUAAUACGUAGGGUGCAAGCGUUAAUCGGAAUUACUGGGCGUAAAGCGUGCGCAGGCGGUUAUAUAAGACAGAUGUGAAAUCCCCGGGCUCAACCUGGGAACUGCAUUUGUGACUGUAUAGCUAGAGUGCGGCAGAGGGGGAUGGAAUUCUGCGUGUAGCAGUGAAAUGCGUAGAUAUGCGGAGGAACACCGAUGGCGAAGGCAAUCCCCUGGGCCUGCACUGACGCUCAUGCACGAAAGCGUGGGGAGCAAACAGGAUUAGAUACCCUGGUAGUCCACGCCCUAAACGAUGUCAACUGGUUGUCGGGUCUUCACUGACUCAGUAACGAAGCUAACGCGUGAAGUUGACCGNCUGGGGAGUACGGCCGCAAGGUUGAAACUCAAAGGGU
rnacentral:rRNA from 1 species